rnacentral:rRNA from 1 species
AAUCCAUAGGUUAAUGAGGCGAACCGGGGGAACUGAAACAUCUAAGUACCCCGAGGAAAAGAAAUCAACCGAGAUUCCCCCAGUAGCGGCGAGCGAACGGGGAGGAGCCCAGAGCCUGAAUCAGCAUGUGUGUUAGUGGAAGCGUCUGGAAAGGCGCGCGAUACAGGGUGACAGCCCCGUACACAAAAGCGCAUGUGCUGUGAGCUCGAUGAGUAGGGCGGGACACGUGGUAUCCUGUCUGAAUAUGGGGGGACCAUCCUCCAAGGCUAAAUACUCCUGACUGACCGAUAGUGAACCAGUACCGUGAGGGAAAGGCGAAAAGAACCCCGGCGAGGGGAGUGAAAAAGAACCUGAAACCGUGUACGUACAAGCAGUGGGAGCACCCUUUGGGUGUGACUGCGUACCUUUUGUAUAAUGGGUCAGCGACUUAUAUUCUGUAGCAAGGUUAACCGAAUAGGGGAGCCGGAGGGAAACCGAGUCUUAAUUGGGCGUUAAGUUGCAGGGUAUAGACCCGAAACCCGGUGAUCUAGCCAUGGGCAGGUUGAAGGUUGGGUAACACUAACUGGAGGACCGAACCGACUAAUGUUGAAAAAUUAGCGGAUGACCUGUGGCUGGGGGUGAAAGGCCAAUCAAACCGGGAGAUAGCUGGUUCUCCCCGAAAGCUAUUUAGGUAGCGCCUCGUGAAUUCAUCUCCGGGGGUAGAGCACUGUUUCGGCUAGGGGGCCAUCCCGGCUUACCAACCCGAUGCAAACUGCGAAUACCGGAGAAUGUUAUCACGGGAGACACACGGCGGGUGCUAACGUCCGUCGUGAAGAGGGAAACAACCCAGACCGCCAGCUAAGGUCCCAAAGUCAUGGUUAAGUGGGAAACGAUGUGGGAAGGCCCAGACAGCCAGGAUGUUGGCUUAGAAGCAGCCAUCAUUUAAAGAAAGCGUAAUAGCUCACUGGUCGAGUCGGCCUGCGCGGAAGAUGUAACGGGGCUAAACCAUGCACCGAAGCUGCGGCAGCGACACUGUGUGUUGUUGGGUAGGGGAGCGUUCUGUAAGCCUGUGAAGGUGUGUCGUGAGGCAUGCU